UCGCUCUCACGUUGUUGAAAUAGUAUUCAAUUUAAUAAAAAACUCAACACCCGCAUGUGUAAGACAUCCUAUGUGCAUAUAGAAGAAAUGCAGGUGGAUAAAACUCCCAUACAUAGCGACAUAGUUAACCACGUGAGAUUUAGGCUGGUUUUGAACAUGUCCUUUGGCAUGAGACAAAAAGGGAUGUUUUAAAACAACACACAAUAUGUUCUAUGAUUCUAUUAUUCUUAAUUGUCUUGAAGCGUGACUAUAUGCAUAGAUGUUAUUCCCUCUGUUGUAAAUACAUGGCACAUUUUUUCUACAAUAAAUUACAUGACACUUUAUUUUUGUCCUAAAUCAAUCUUCUAAAGCUGACCAAGUUAUUAGGAAAAUGUAUUAGCAUCUACAGGUUCAAAUAAAUGCAUUAUCAAAGACAUAUUUUAUGGAGAGUUUAAUAAAACUAAUUUGAUGUUGUUGAUGUUGUUGGUUUGGUGCAUUCUCCUAUAUAUUUCAUCAAAGAUAUAAAAAUCUAAAGUAAGACAAAGCUAACUAUAAUUUGGUCCAAAGAGUAUUGUGUUUGUGUUCUAUAAAUGGUAGGUUGUUUUCUUACUUUUUUUGUUUGCACUGACUGAUGAUUGUGCUGUAGGGAUGUAUGUAAUGGUUAUUUGUGCAUACAUUGCAGCAGAGUCCAGGGACACUUAUCUAGCUAUCAAGGUGUCAUAAUCCUCACAUCUCAUGUCUGCCUCUGUUUUCUUGUAUGUCUCCUUUCAAUUGUUUACUGAGUAUUUGUUGGAAAUUCUCUUUCUGUUAUCUUUGUUCUUUAAUAUUAUUGCAAACCUCAUUCUGAGUGAUCCUGUGUGCGCAUAUACAUUUCUAUCUCUAGAUUUUGCUUUUGUGUGAAGUGGUCUCUAGCAAAUUAAAUAACUACAAUUUGGAUGACACUGUUUAUUGCUAUAUCAUGUCUGAUACAGUUGUUAGCCAUGCUUUUGAUUGAAAACAUAUAAGUUCAGUUAGCAGUUAACAUGGUGAGUAAGGACUACAUGAAUCUUGAAUUAUUAUGCUACAAUGAAUAGUGUCUCAAACAUUAUUUGAAUUCUAGUUUCUUCUAUAUAUGAAAGCUGGUUCGAAACGUGGCUUUCUAACCUGUCCACGUUGUUGUUUUUCUUCACAAACGUUUGAUCAUCAUCGGAGAGACACAACUAGGGCCUUUCAGCAGGUCGACGCAAAGCGACGCUUCGAGACCGAAGCAGAAGAGAGAGCUCGGAGAGGGGUGGGGAUGGGACGCCUCCACCUUUGAUAGGUCGACGCGCUAUGACGCUUCCAAAAGAAACUGUGACCCUUCUAGGGGAGGGGAAAGGAUGCCUCCACUUCUACAUAGAAGCAGAAACACUAUUUGUCCAAAAAAACAUUAUCAAUCUAUCUAUGCUUCUAAGAAGAGCCAUAUAUUAUUUAUCAAAAUCAUUACCAGACAAUGCCAUGGUGCUCAAUUUCACAUAACUUUUAGAUUGCCCUCGGACUUAAUAGGUCCUGACACUGUCAAUGCUAUUGUUGCAAGGUAAAAAGGCAACCAUGUCCCUUGCGCCAUAAUCUACAGCUGAAUGCUAGUAUUGCAAAAUUUAUUCCCAACCUGCGCCAUGGCCAUAUCAUUUGUAGCUAUUUAUUCAUAUAUGUACUACAGAAACUAAUCUUAUUUGUCUUUUUAGACAUGAUGUAAUCUCAUAUAUACUCACAUACUGCAUGAUAAUAAGGUGAUUUUUAUCCUAUAACAAGCUUAUCCCGCGCCCCAUCGGAUCGACUUGGUUCGUCAGUUAAGCGUAGAAACCUUAAGUCCUCAUGUAUUUUUUUUUCUAGGUCUUUGAUGCUGCUGCUUCACCAAACAAUGAAAUGCUCUUGAUGCAUGAUUCAGGAGCUAGGAGGAUAUCUAUUGUCGUUGAGUUACAUGUGAGGCGAUUUUCUUUGCACUGUUUGACUGCUCUUAAUAGAUUGUGUGACCCUUACCGUUGUAUUAUGGGAUUGCCUGACCCAAUGGUGAUGGCAUAUUAGUAUGUUUGCUUGAUUGGGUCAUAGGUCCUUGACAUUGUUCUCUGGGAUGCUUGAGCCCAAAUCUUUGUGCAUUAGAACAGAGAUCGUGAUGUGAAUAUCCUCCCACUGAAUUAUUGUCCUUGUAGAAUUGAUAAUAAUUAGUAAACAAAGCCAGAUAAGGAUGGAUGGGUCUUUUAGGUCACAAAAUGGGUUUGGUUGCUAAUUUCUUGUGGGAUGUGGUUGACUGGCUGAUAAGUUGAUGGUUGUAGUAGAUAGUAACGUGCUUUCUAGAAUGUUAGUGCCAAUCUUUCAUUUAGAAUGAUCGAUUACGAACCUCUCCUGGUCUUCUUUACUGCACUUUGUUUUAUAUACAAAGUGCUGCCUUUAAUACGGUUGAACAAGCCAAUUCUACACUGAUGUUGUUGUGCUUCUCUCAGUUCAGUUAAACUAUCUCCGAUCAUCAAUACAAUGGCCACUGAAUGUGCGUUGUUAUUUUUGCAGGAAGUUGACUUUCCUCUGCUGCUGCUGCUGUGCUCAGUGUGGAUGACAUUGUGCUGCCUCAGGUACAUCAUCUAUUCCACUUUCUGAAGCUUAUUCUAGCAAAAAAACAUUCACAACAAUUGAUAGUAUCAUUGAUACUACACACUGUCCUUUCUUUGCUGCAACCUGCGGAAGCAAAAUUUCUCUAUAUGAAAGCCGGUUCAAAUCACGGCCUAAGAGUGUGUCCACAUCGCUCUGAUUUGUUGUGUCCGUUGGAUCGCAGAUCAACGUCCGCUGGUCCGCCCUCAGUACGCACCUGUCGUUCGUUGCUGCUAGAAGCAUCGCGUUGCGGAUUGACUUUCUCCAUGCUCCACACCUCCGCCUCGCCGUCCUCAUGCCCCGCAGCAAAGACUUCCCAUCCGCCUCCUCCACCUCACGGGUCACAGGGUCCAUCCUCGCCGUCCAACUCGGCGACAUCUUUGACCAUGGGAAACGAACUCCGCCUCCUCGCCCCUUCUGUCGAGGCUCGCGGCGGCGUGUCCCUCAGCCUCGCGUAGGAACCUCUCAGCCCCGCGUAGGAGCCGACGCAGUGGCAGUCCUUACAUUUUAGGGGCCCAGGACAAGGUUUCAAAUAUAGGCCCUUCAAAUUAUUUUUAAUGUAUAAAUGUUACUAAUUAAACACUCAAAAUACAUCUAAAAAUAUUUAUAUCAAAUAAUUAGUAAAUAGAAGGAUAUAUAUUAUAGUAUCGCUUUGAAAUUUUCUUCUAACAUGUUUAGAUAUUCAUUAUUUUGUUGAUAAGCUAUUGGAUCACAUGACUAGAAUGGGCCCUAUGAAUUCGGGGGCCCGGGGCGACCGCCCCUCUGCCCCACCCUCAGGGCCACCACUGAGCCGACGAGCCUGCUACCGUCGACACGUAGGGCUGGAAACGAGCCGAGCCGAGCUCGGCUCGGCUCGGCUCGGUGCGGCUCGGUGACUGAACGAGCUCGGCUCGGCUCGGCUCGUCCAUUUCACGAGCUGGCGAAAGAGGCUCGGCUCGGCUCGACCUUGGCUCGCGAGCCGGCUCGGCUCGGCUCGCGAGCCAUAUUCUGGUACUUAUCGUUGCAUUAUUUGGUGAAUUAACAUUAUAUAUUCAUCAUCAAAGACUAAAAAAUGAGCUAUUAUCUAUAAAAUUAUCUAAUACUCAUUAUUAUUCCAUAAAUUGAUCAUUUUUGCAAGGCUCGCGAGCCGGCUCGCGAGCUGGCUCGGCUCGGCUCGCUGCAAAAACGAGCUCGAAGAAGAGGCUCGGCUCGGCUCGUUCGAGGCUCGUGAGCCGCUCCGAGCCGAGCCGAGCCGCACCGAGCUCGAGCCGGCUCGCGAGCCUCGAGCUAAUUUUCCAGCCCUAUCGGCACGGUCUGACGAGCCUGCUACCGUCGGCACGGGAACUGAGCGCGCUAUCGCCCCGUCGCCGCGUGCUAGCCUCGACCGCCACGAGUAGUCCACACAACCUGCUCUAGUGGUCAGCGAGCCUUGACGUAUCCUGCGGGAGACUUACGACGAUGUGAAGACAGACCUGCGGACAAACUAUUAUGGCACAAAACAAGUAAUCGAGACUUUACUGCCUCUGCUUCAAGCGUCCUCUGAUGGAAGGAUUGUCAACGUCUCCUCUCAGUUCGGCCAGAUACGAGUAAGAUAUAUGCUUAUCACUUUUUGCAAAUAUAAUGGCAAUACAUCAUGCGUGCGUAAAGAACAGAGGUCAGGUCUAGAAUUUUUCUUCUAAACUUUACCAAGGCCGAAGAUCGAAAAAUCCUUUUUAGUUCUCUAGAUGAGAGUACAAAUUCCAAAUUAAAGCAUGAGAUAGUAACAAAAACUCCCUCACAAUAUAAUGCAGCUUUUUCGAAACGAGGACCUGAAGCCAAGGGAUUGUGUCAUGUAGGAACCAAGGGAUUUUAUCGAUAACAGAGAUUGGAAUUUAGUGCUUACCAUUUAUAUAUCCCAAAAUAGAGUGGUUAAUUAAUGCAAUCAUCUUAUCACGAUGCCAUAUUCUUUUCUUUUCCUUUUUUGAGUUGGUUUGAGAAGGGUCGAACCCAUUCUAUUCUUUUUCUUUCUCUCUACUUCUCUUUUCUUCUUCGCAUAUAUGGUGCGGGUGCAGCCAAAAAUUUUGUAACCAACAAAAAAAUGGGAUUUCUAGAUGUGAAUCACUCACUUAGUGUCCAGAGAGCAUGUUAAACUCUGAAUGCCAUACUUUGUAGAACGUUUCAGACCAUUGCUUGCAUGCCAACACAUGCGGAAUGUGAGCUACAAGUACCUUUUGAAAAGUUCAAAACUCAUCCUGCUGCUUUCACAUACAAAAAUUUAUGGGAUUUCUAGCUGGGAAUUACUCAAAGUAGUAGUAGUGGUAAGAGAGCAGCUAGCUUCUAAUGAAAGAUAAUUCUUUCAUGUAUAUUUUUCAUGAUCACCCAGGUGACCAUCCUUGGACUCAUGUCUAUGACCGUGUUCCUCAAAAUAAAGAUGUCACAUGGGCAGAUUGAAGGUUGUCAAAUCUUUGGCAUUUCCAGAUGAAGGCAAUGUUAGGACAUACGUGGCUCUUUUUGCAGGUAUAUACAUGUCAAUAUCUUGGACUACUAAAAUAAACAGAAUUGCUAAAGACAAUGAUGUUGAUAAACACAACACUACUAUACGUUACUGAUA